UGCCUGGAGUGAAGAUUCUGCCCAUUGGUCAAGAGACCUCCCUCUCAGAUGCUGGCUCUGCCCCUGCCUUUGGGGGUCGACCCUUGUACUCGCAGGACCUUAGGUGACUCUAUUCUACUUCUCUGAUCAUCCAGGAAACCAAUCUGCCUGAGGACGAGUCAUACUCUGUCCUCCCACCCCAGGCUAGAGAGUGGUAUCUGUCUUUCCACAAGUUGCACCAGCACUGGGCUUCCCCAUGGGUGGUGGUGAGGAAAAACCACAUCAUUGCUGCCUUGCCUUUAGGCCAACCCUUCUGCCCUGGAGAUCUGAGUUGCCUGUGCCUAGGACAAUGAGGAAUGGUGUCAAAGAGGGAUUUUUGCAACUUCAGCUGGUCCCUUGGAGGAAAAUGUUGGACAGGAGGGCAUCUGUAUAGCAUGAA
rnacentral:antisense_RNA from 1 species